rnacentral:rRNA from 1 species
GACGAACCGUCCAAACGUUGUUCGGAAUCACUGGGCUUAAAGGGCGCGUAGGCGGGCUGCCAAGUCCGGGGUGAAAUCCUCCCGCUUAACGGGAGAACUGCCUCGGAUACUGGAAGUCUCGAGGGAGGGUAGGGGCAUGCGGAACUGUGGGUGGAGCGGUGAAAUGCGUUGAUAUCCAUAGGAACUCCGGUGGCGAAGGCGACUGACUGGACAUGUAUUGACGCUGAGGUACGAAAGCGUGGGGAGCAAACAGG